rnacentral:rRNA from 1 species
GACGAACGCUGGCGGCGUGCUUAACACAUGCAAGUCGAACGGAAAGGCCCUGCUUUUGUGGGGUGCUCGAGUGGCGAACGGGUUAGUAACAAGUGAGUAACCUGCCCUUGACUUUGGGAUAACUUCAGGAAACUGUGGCUAAUACCGGAUAGGAGCUCCUGCUGCAUGGUGGGGGUUGGAAAGUUUCGGCGGUUGGGGAUGGACUCGCGGCUUAUCAGCUUGUUGGUGGGGUAGUGGCUUACCAAGGCUUUGACGGGUAGCCGGCCUGAGAGGGUGACCGGCCACAUGGGGACUGAGAUACGGCCCAGAGUCCUACGGGAGGCAGCAGUGGGGAAUAUUGCACAAUGGGCGGAAGCGUGAGGCAGCAACGCCGCGUGCGGGAUGAAGGCCUUCGGGUUGUAAACCGCUUUCGCCUGUGACGAAGCGUGAGUGACGGUAAUGGGUAAAGAAGCACCGGCUAACUACGUG